rnacentral:lncRNA from 1 species
CAGCCCUUCACGGUCCAUUGUUUCUGUUUUUUCCUGAAAGGUCUCUGCUCCCUCAAUCUUGGUGUCUGUCCUCAUUGUCUUGUAGGCAUUUCCAUUUGGGCCACAGUAGCCAAGUCUUGUAUAACUGGAUUGGCUCUUGAGAGAAGAGAGUGGCUUAUUAUAAACCAAGGCCUGCUCCUUCGCAUCUGCUUUCUUGCCUGUGUCCUUGCACGCCCACAUCUCUGCUAUGUACCAAUGCAGGCAGGAGGCCUUGGCUACAUUCAAGUGACAUGCUGUUUGGACAAAAACAAACCCAGUGACAACUGUGAUGUGGUUUUCUGUAGAUCUAGUAAGACAGUGCACAAGCAAGCUCUUCCCUGUCUAAGAACAAGUAUUUAUCCUGAGUUUGCUGGCCACGUGGGUGUGGAUCUCAAGAAGCACAAAGCUAGGGUCACCCAGGAAGUCAUUUCUCCCAUAGCUAGCUUAACAGGAAGUUGAUGCUCUGAGUGAGACUGACAUCACCUCCAUCACCCCCACUUACAGAUGUAGAAGUGGCAUCAUGAAGAAGUCACUUGGGUAAGAUCAUUUAAUUGUUGUAUCAGUUAUUUUUUCUACUGUUGUG